rnacentral:rRNA from 1 species
AUUAAACUGAAGAGUUUGAUCAUGGCUCAGAUUGAACGCUGGCGGCAGGCCUAACACAUGCAAGUCGAGCGAGAAAGCACUUCGGUGCGAGUA